GACGAACGCUGGCGGCGUGCCUAAUACAUGCAAGUAGAACGCUGAAGGAGGAGCUUACUUCUCUGGAUGAGUUGCGAACGGGUGAGUAACGCGUAGGUAACCUGCCUGGUAGCGGGGGAUAACUAUUGGAAACGAUAGCUAAUACCGCAUAAGAGUAGAUGUUGCAUGACAUUUACUUAAAAGGUGCAAUUGCACCACUACCAGAGGGACCUGCGUUGUAUUAGCUAGUUGGUGGGGUAACGGCUUACCAAGGCGACGAUACAUAGCCGACCUGAGAGGGUGCUCGGACACACUGGAACUGAGACACGGCCCAGACUCCUACGGGAGGCAGCAGUAGGGAAUCUUCGGCAAUGGACGGAAGUCUGACCGAGCAACGCCGCGUGAGUGAAGAAGGUUUUCGGAUCGUAAAGCUCUGUUGUAAGAGAAGAACGAGUGUGAGAGUGGAAAGUUCACACUGUGGCGGUAUCUUACCAGAAAGGGACGGCUAACUACGUGCCAGCAGCCGCGGUAA
rnacentral:rRNA from 1 species